ensembl:antisense
UCAUCCCUCGCCUUGGAACCAGGAAGAGCAGGUCCUCAGCCUCUAAGGCUUGGGUUUACAUUCCACCCAUAGGGAGAGGAAAACAUCCCAGAGCCAUCUACUGGAUAAACUGAACUGUGAAACAGACUGAGCUCCCUCCCAGUCUGCUGACUUGAAGAGGUUCCGAAACUUCAGGACUGCCCACAGGAAAAGACCACAGGAGUCUCUCCCUAAAUCUGUCCUGCAUAGAUGCGCAUUCUAUGCGUCUACAAAGCAGCUCUGGCUUCACUGACUGCCUGAGGCCACCUUGUGCUAAAAGGCUCUAAGGAGACUCUGGACACACUGCCAGAUGCAUAGGGUACUACAAGGACCCACCCAGGACCCACCAUGCAGAGCCAAAGGAGAAAGCACCCGUGAGGCACCAGAAGAUGGGCAGUCAUGGCCUCCACAUCAUUUCCAUUCCAUCAGGAAGCCAUCCCUGGGGUAUGAAACCCCAACCCACAGAACCACUGGGUGGUGCUCUCUCUGUCCAAUAAGGGAAAGGUCUGGCAUCGCAGAAGGGCUCCAACACAUCAGAGGAGCCUAACUAACCAGGACUGACACAUGAGCUUCCUGAAGGGAACCUCAGAGCUUUGAUGAACUGAGAGCAAGCACUGAGGUGUAUGGUACACCCACAGUAGGAAGUUUAGCAUUCAAGAGCAUUCACUCUGAGGCCCAGGCAGAGCAGACAAAGGCUAGCCUGAUCAGGCCACUGUGGGCACAGGUAUCACACAGGAUGUGUGCUCAGCUCUGGUGACCCAGAGGGGGAUGAACACGUGACAUCAAUCCCCGCCUCCCAGCCCUCAUGAGUCGGGGUGGGCUGAGCAUGUGAUUUCAGCAGCCGUCUUCGGCCCUCACCUUAUUUUCCGCAGCAACGUGUGGAAGGGCCGGAACAGCUCAGACAUGUCCUCCACCUUCCGGUCCAAGUUCAGGGGUCCAUCUGCAUAGACCACAAGGCCACUGUAUUCAAGACACACAAGCCGGUGUGGUUAGGCUCUGUAGGCCUCUGAGUGAGCCCUGUGAUUUCAGUGUCAGCAUGUACAAGAAGACUGACAGCCAGCUGGGACCUGGGGUACCCACGCUUAGCAAAGUCAUAGUUUUACCCUUCACCUCCUAUGAGUAAAGUUUCAACAAGUCAAGGAAAAGGUGAUUACAAUUACUAUCCAGACUCUACCAUCAAGUUUAUUAGCUCUGUUCACAGCAGGGAGCUAACAACCAUGGAGUGUAUCUGUUCACCUCAGUGCUGCAGAGACGAUGAGAUCAACAUUCAUUACUAACGCCUACCUCACUGAAACUGAAAGACUACAUCUGUAGAGGCUCGUGAGAAUCAAGCCUAAAAUUGUUGCAUCAAAACCCAAGCACAAGCUAGAGACCCAUGUGGUUCUCUUAUCACCCUUCAGGGCAGGAAACAGCCUCUUGUCUACCCACCGGCAGGACUGACCCUUCCCUGGAUGUCCCCUCUGCACGCAGGCUGGAGCUUUCCUCAUUGCCCCAGUCUAGCACUUAGCAUCCGGCACCCAGCUCAAUGCCUGCUGAAGGCCAGCUCCCUCAGGUGCCAGCUCUGGGCAGCCCUGAUUCUAUCAGCUCAUGCCCUUGACAGCCACCUUCACUUGCCGCCCUCUGGAAGCUCCAAGGCCUACUGCCCAGCUCUGAGAGCAACUGUGUCAGCCAAGCUUCAGCUCGUCUCUCUCUCUCUCAGGAACCCACAAAACAUCCAUUGCCGCAGCUCCUUCAUCUGAGCGCAGAUCAGGGCUACUGGGCUUUGUGCUUGGAGAGCCCUACUUGUUGCCACCACUGUGACUUGAUCUCCUUGCCAACAGAGUCCCAGUUAUUACUAUCCCACAGAAUCCCUGUCUGUGAGAGUCGUCUAUUAAAAACUCAGUCUGGUUAAAAAGU